AGAGUAGUUGCUGGGUCACAUGGUUAGUAUAUGCUUAACCUUGUAAGAAACUGCCAAGUUGUUUUCUAAGGUGGCUUUAUUAUUUGCGUUCCCACUGGCAAU
rnacentral:pre_miRNA from 1 species